UUUUAGGGGGUAUCCCAUUCUGCCCCCAAAAAAGGAAAUUUUUCCUUUAAGGGCAGCCGAAAAUUUUUUCUAUUCACUUUAUCAUUAAAAAAAUAUAUCUAACGUAUUUGAGUCUCGAAAAACUUAGUAUUUCCUUAACUACCUCGUUAUGCCCCACCUCCUUUCCCUUCAUAUAUGUAUAUAUUUUUUUCUGAUACCUUUGUUAUCGUUCUUAUCAAAGAGUUUCAUAACUGUUCGAAGCAAUUAUCAGCUCAAUGUCAUUUCUUUUAGUCAGUCUUAUCUGUUCAAAAACAAUUAAAUUAAAUUGUUCAGGAUGUGGUCGAUUAUAUUUAGUGCAACAAAUACAAGCUCAAAGUUUUCUAUGUAAUAUACAUAUAUACCACCGACGUCAUUUGUACACUUUCAAAAGUUGAAUAUAUAAGGAGGAAAUAUUUCCCUUGUACUUCAUAAUUUUGCUAUUCGUCUAAAUAACAGUUUCUUACCGGUUCAGCUGAAACAUGAUGAAAAGUGUCUUGUUGAUUUUAAUGAUUGGAUCAUUAAUUGUUGCAACUAUGGGCUGUGAAAGUACACCGCGUAAAUGGUGUCAUCCGGUUGCUGGUUAUACUUGCUGUGACCCACUGGAGUGCAAUAAAGGCUGGUUCAAGCAAGGAAUUUGCAUCAGGGAACAAGAUCCAUUUUAUAACGGAAAAUAAUAAACGAAUUCAAAUAGAUAAAUCUUUUGACAGCUACCCUAUCAUUUAUAUUUAAAGUGAAUAGAAAAAAUUAUCAGCUGCUGGGAGUACUAAACUGUCGCCUAUCGCACACUUCAAAAAACAUAUCGUGCAGUAUCAUUGUUUUUUUUUUUUUUUGCAAGUAAUGAACCAAGCAUCGAUAAUCAACACGUAAGAAAGUCACAUAUUAUGAUUAUCUUUAUCUAUAGUCACUUGUGUA